UGAGGAAUAUUGCACAAUGGGCGCAAGCCUGAUGCAGCAACGCCGCGUGGAUGAUGAAGGCCUUCGGGUUGUAAAAUCCUUUUCUGGGGAAAGAUAAUGACGGUACCCCAGGAAUAAGUUCCGGCUAACUACGUGCCAGCAGCCGCGGUAAAACGUAGGGACCAAGCGUUGUUCGGAUUUACUGGGCGUAAAGGGCGCGUAGGCGGCUUGACAAGUCACUUGUGAAAUCUCUGGGCUUAACCCAGAACGGCCAAGUGAAACUGUCAUGCUAGAGUGCAGAAGGGGCAAUCGGAAUUCUUGGUGUAGCGGUGAAAUGCGUAGAUAUCAAGAGGAACACCUGAGGUGAAGACGGGUUGCUGGGCUGACACUGACGCUGAGGCGCGAAAGCCAGGGGAGCGAACGGGAUUAGAUACCCCAGUAGUCCCUGAGCGGGCUGGCAAGGCGCAU
rnacentral:rRNA from 1 species